CUCUAUUCACUUCUUAUUAGUAAGAAAAUACCGAAAAGAGCAUAUCAUGUUUAUCUUUGUAAUCAUACCUGAUUUAUUGGUCGAUUAUAUCUGCUGUGAUAUCACUUCAGUUCACACCUUGAUUCCGAACUGUUUUACUAGGUAUUUAGUAAAAAUGAGAUUACAGAAAAUUAAUACGUAGCUUACGGAAUAACCCGAGAGAAAACUGGAAGGAUCACUAAAAAACUUAUCACACCUUUUUUUAAUUAAAAAGGAGGAGCGGAGGAGGAAUAUCGCACGAGAAGGAAAAUAAAAUAAAUAAAACGCGUAUAGUUUUAUCAGAUACCUCAAUAUCUCCAGGUCUGAAACCACUCGGUUGCAAUUUUGGCGCGUGCUGACUAAGCUCGUUACAAAUGACCAUGGUGCCCAUGAAAGUCUCGCCAAUGUUGCAUCAUUGCUUUAUAUCGAUUUUAAACCGACCUCCGUGUCUGGUUGCGUGUCGGUCUAAAGCGAACUGUACUUAACGGUACCUGCCGUAAGAGCAAAGGCACCGAUGCCAUCGAUUUGCCUUUCAUGAAAGACAAUGACAUAUCGAUAUCGCGAUUUGAGAAUGAUAAAUCACUCUGUUCCCCGUUAAUUCAUCCCUGAUAUAACUUUUAUAUAAAGAGCCUAAAAUAUCUUAAGUUAUGCAUAUAUAUAUGUAUA